rnacentral:rRNA from 1 species
UUGCCUUGUACACACCGCUCGUCACGCAAAAUUUAUA